rnacentral:lncRNA from 1 species
AUUUUAUAAUGAAAAGAAUGAGUCAUAUUUAUAGAGUACCCAUAAAACCUUAAUUAAAAAUGAAAUUAAGCCUAAAAGAUAUCAAAAAUCAUAAAGAGAGUUUCAAUUAAAAUAGAAGUCUAGGCAAAUUAAAAAAAAAAAGAAAAAAAAAGCAUCCAAGUUUACACUAUGUAGCCACAUAGGUUUCCCUGCUUGCGGUGUGGAGACCAUCCAAUAGUCCUCAACUCUGUCUCGAUAUGGAGACAAGCAGGACUGCAUGUCUAGUUAUACUAUAAGAUAGCACAGGUAUUCAAUUUAGCCCCUUCCGUUCAUUACUUGAACCAACUUGAUCCAUCUUGUUCCUUCUUCCACGUCCUUUAUUUGUUUGUUGUGGUCAAUGUUUCGUCCACUAUUACUUGAACAAGUAAUCCCAUGUUCUCUUUGACCUUCUUUACUCUUAACCUAGUCAUUGAUCUUUGCUCUACAUCAACGGGUCCUUGUCUUUGAUAGUUCUCAUACCAUAGUUCUCAUCAUUCACUAUUCCUUCAAAAGGAUUCGUCCUUGAAUCUCCACUUGUAUCAAACAAAGAAAGAUCAGAAAUAUUGAAAGUAGCAAAAAUGUUAUACAAACCUGCAAGAUCCAAUUUAUAGGCGUUGACAUUGAUCUUUUCAAGCAAGUGAAAAUAUAAAUCUCCUUUCGGUUGCAACUUUGACUUCCUUUGCGUCAGAAAGCGUUCCUUUCUCAUAUGUACCCAAACCUAAUCUCCUAGUUCAAAUGUAAUACGUUGUCGUCCUUUAUUUACUUGAGAAGCAAAAUGCUCAUUUUUCUUCUCAAUUUGGCACCAUAGUUUCUCAUGGAAGGAUCUUAUCAAUUUGGCUUUCUUCUUUCCAUCUAAGCUACCUCUCUUAUCAACAGAUAAAUGAAUUAAAUCCAAAAGUGUUGGUGGAUUAAAACUAUAAACAAUUUCAAAUUGAGUAUAAGAAGUAGUGAAAUACAUAACCCUAUUAUAUGCAAAUUCUAUGAAUGACAAACAAUCUUCCCAACUCUCCAAGUUCUUAUUGGCUUUAGUGCGCAACAGUAUUAUAGUCCUAUUAACAAUCUUAGUUUGUCUAUCUAUUUGUGGUUGACAAGUUGUAGAGAAUAGUUUAGUAACUAACCGAUACAAUAGUUCUUGGUACCCAUGUAAGCGCACUACUUCUUUAAUGUAUAAAUCUGCAAUAUUAGUGGCAUCAUCAGUUUUAUGACAUAGAAUGAAACGUGCUAUCUUACCAAAUCUAUCUACUACCACAAAUAUGGAAUCUCUUCCUUUCUUAGUCAUGGGUAAACCCAACACAAAGUCCAUAGACACAAUAACCCAAGACUCACUAGGAACGGGUAAUGGCGUAUACAAUUCUCGAGGCAAAACCUUAGACUUAGGCUUUUUACAAGUGAUGCAUCUACUACAAACCCGAUCAACAUCAACUUUCAUCUCAGGCCAAUAGAAGUGUUCAUUUAACAUCACCAAGGUUUUCUUAAUCCCAAAGUGACCCAUUAAACUUCCAUUGUAUACUUCACGAAUUGACAAUUUUCUCAUUGAACAUCUACGUACACAUAACUUAUUAUCUCGAAAUAAAUAUCCAUUAUUCUUAAAGAAUCUAUCUAUAACACUUUUGUCACAUGAUUUAUAUAUAUUAGAAAAGCUCACGUCAUUAGCAUACAUAUCUUUAACAUAUUCAAAUCCUAGCAAUUUGGCACCUAAAGAAGCAAGAGGUACAUAUCUCUUUAACAAUCAUUCGCUACCACAUUUUCUUUAUCUUGUUUAUAGUGCAUAACAUAUGAAAAGGUCUCGAUGAACUACAUCCACCUUACAUGCUUCUUAUUUAGUUUACCUUGACUUUUUUAAUUCUUCAAUGACUAAUGGUCUGUGUGAAUCAUGAACAUCUUUGGCUAUAGGUAGUGCUGCCAGGUCUUCAAAGCUUGAACAAGUGCAUACAACUCUGUUUUAUAGGUAGGAUAGUCAAGUACUGCUCUACUUAACUUUUCACUAAAAUAAGCUAUUGGCCUUCAUUCAUGCAUCGAAAUAGCUCCAAUACUUAUUCCUGAGGCUUCGCAUUCAAUCUCAAAAGUAUUGUUAACAUUAGGUAAUGAUAAAAUCGGUGCAGUACACAACCUAUCCUUAAUAGUAUUAAAAACAUGUUCUUGUUCAACGCCCUAAUGAAAUCCUACACUUUUCUUUACAAUAUUCGUGAGUGAUGUGGCAAUUGUGUUAAAGUCUCUAAUAAAAAGCCAAUAGAAGCUAGCCAAACCAUGUAGGAAACUUCUUACAUUGAUUAUACUUGUCGAUGUUGGCGUUUCCUUGAUGGCUUUGACUUUCUCCUCAUCCACCUUAAUUUCUUUAGAACUAACAACAUAACCAAGAAAAACAAUAUUUUUCUAUACAAAAUGUACACUUUUUAAAGUUAGCACAAACUUGUCAUUGUCUUAAGACCACAAGCAGACAUUUUAAAUGUCCUAGAUGCUCAUUUAAAUCAUUACUUUGUUCCAAGAUAUCAUCCAAGAAAAUUACUAUGAAUUUACCUAUAAACACACACAAGACAUGAUUUAUUAAUCUCAUAAACGUGUUAGGUACAUUAGCAAGUCCAAAUGGUAGGAUUAACCACUUAUAUAAGCCAUACCUAAUCUUAAAAGCAACUUUUCACUCAUCUCUCUCUCUCUCUCAUCCUAAUUUGAUGAUAUCGACUUUUAAUAUCUAUUUUACUAAAUAUGUAUGAUUCAUACAAUUCAUCUAGCAUAUCAUCUAACCUAGGAAUAAGUGACGAUAUUUUAUUGUUAUAUUCUUAAUUGCUUGACAAUCUACGCAUAUCUUCCAAAUUUCAUGUUUCUUCGACACAAGUAGCACUGGUAUGACACAUGGACUCAUGCCUCCCCUCACAUACCGUUAGCUCAUACUACAUAUAUUGUUGUUGACAUGACAUCUCGUAUGAAAUAUGUUCUCCAUUUCUUACUCCAAAUCAUCCACUUUGAUUUGAACACUAAGAGGUCUCUUUGCAACCAUUAGAUCUCUCACUGCAUGCUCCACUUUCUCACCAUCACAAGCAUUCUUCAAUUCAUCCUCACUAUCACUCAUAACCUUUCCAUUAUCUUGAAAGAUCGUCAUCCUUUUGUUCGGAUAUUGAGAAACAAUGUGUCCCGAUCCCGAGCAUUUAAAGCAUUUGAUAUCCCGAUUCCUAAGAGGUUGGGAAUCCACCUUGAGUGUAACUUAUGCUAGUAAUUUCCUCUCUUUCUUUCGGUAGCUCAGUUCUACUCUUUGAAACAACUCUAUCACCUUUAUUGUUAUUCCACUUCGAUUUCCAAAAAGGGUUAGACCGAUAGAUAUCUAGCUGCCCCAUUCCUCUUCCAUUGACUAUCUCUCUACCUUCAUAGCUACAUGUAGUAUGUUUUCAAACUCCACAUAAUGUUGUAAUUCUAUCAUAUUAGCUAUCUCCCUAUUCAAACAAUUCAAAAAUAAUGCUAUGGUGGCAUCCGAUCCUUUUCAACAUUGGCUUUAAUCAUGGCAAUCUCCAUCUCUUUGUGAUAAUCCUCCACACUUCUAAAUCCUUGAUAAAGUCUUUAUACCUUUUGAUAAAAAUCCUUAUAGUAAUGAUUAGGAACGAACCCCUUUCUCAUGAUAGCCUUCAAUUCUCCCCAUGUUUCAAUAGGUCUCUUAUGAUUCCUCCACUGAGAUGUUACUUUUCGAUCCCACCAAAUGGUAGCCUAUCAGUAAACUCAAAGAAAACAAGUUUUACCUUUUUCUCCUCCGAGUAGUCAUGGCAAUCAAAUAUAAGCUAUAUCUUUUUUUUCCCACUCCAAAUAUGCUCCCGGAUCACUCCUUCCUUUGAAUAAAAGAAUUGUCAUUUUAAUAUUGCCCAUUUUUCUAUCAACUCCAUUUCCAACAUUAUAUCUAGCCCUUCUGUCAUGCCUAUCUUCUCUAUUCUUCAUCCUUCAUAUUUCAGCCUCCACUAAUGCAUCAUUAUCAAUUCAAAUACUCGCUUCAUUUUUACCACCAAUAUUCGCCCUACGCUCUCGCCUACCUUGUCUCUUUGUAUUUGGAACUGGUUUAAGUUGUUCCCCACAUAAAUUAGCAAAUAAUAUGUCUUGCCUCUCUAUCCACAUCUCUUGCCUAUCCAUCCUGUCUCCCAUAUCCCCAAACAAUCUUUCAAAUCAUUGUAUUAUCUCCUCCUUCAUGAUGACUUGAUUAUUCUUCCCACUUGAAGUAUAAUCAUUUCCAUCGGAUAUUCUAAAACUAAAGUAAUAUUUGCCUCACAUGUUUACCCUCUUGUGUCACUCAAUUUGAUCUUUUCCCUCUAUUAAUCUCACCACUCUACAUUUUUCCACUCAAUGCUUCCUUGCAAGUGUUUUGUAGAACUAAUUCGAUCUCAAUAAAAAUUCAACCCCUGUAAAAUUUAAUCGAAGAAUUGAGUAAGGAAAAUUGACUCUAGAAUGACUCAACAAAGUAGGAAUUUGACAUUUCAAAUGGAAACACUAAGGAUAAAUUCAAGAAAGUGUUUUUAGAAUUCAAAUUGGACACUUUUUUCAACAAAAAGCCCAAAAAAUGGAAAAUGAAGUGAUUUAGGGCACUAAUUUAGACACAAACAACUUUUGAUUUUUUUUUUCUUGUAUCUUACUUGAAUUGAAUGACUCAAAAGAUAAAAAAGAACACGAAUAAUGAAGAUGAAGACUCAAAUAAAAAGGUGAAUAAUAUAACCUUGAUUUUUGGAGCCUAAACUCUGAUACUAAUUGAUGCGACCCACGUAGCAAUUGUAGCUACAAAAUCCACGACAGAUUAGAUCAAAUUCAAAAAAGCCAAAUACUACUGUUUAGAAAGCUUGACCCAAUGAAUUAUUAUACAAAAAAAUCAAGACAAUUGUCAACAAUAUAUUGAAGUUUAAUUGUCACUAGCAAUGAAUUGGUUUUUUGUUAACAUUUUGUUGUAGGACCAUAAAAGUUUUAAUACUAAGAAUACUACACAAAAAUUACAUUUAUUUUUACUUUAAUUUGGUUUCCUUAAAUAUUCAACGAAAAUAAGUCUAUCGUACUCAUUGUCUUGAGAAAUUAUCAUUCAAGUCUUUAAUGCGUAAAUUUAUAUUUUCUAGACAAUCAAUCAGGCUGAAUAAUUUCGAGAUAGUGACACUACGAAAUUGUGUAGGCAAUUAUGUUUCCUUCGACAAUUCAACAUUAUGAACUGUGAAGAAUGUAUAAACUAAUCAGAAUUUCAAGCUAAUGAGAGUAGAGACGCUUUAUGAGAGUUUAGUUCAUAAAAUGUGUUGUCUUCCUUUUAGAGAUAAUUGCAGCAACUAUCCCUAACUUUUCAUCUUUUUGUAAAGCUUACCUUAACAUUCAUCUUGUACCACCUACAGUUCCAAACCUUUUAAAAAUCCACACUUAGGGUCCAAAUGGAUGGAAAUCAUCCAUCUUACAGUUAGUUGAUAAAAAAAAGUCGAAAUUUGAUCAAUUUUGACCAAUUAAAAAAGGUAAAAUCGUACUAUGCAUUUUUCCUCACAUUAAAUAAUUUUAAAAAAUUAAAUUAAAAAUAUAUAUAAACCCACCUUCUUUUCCACCGCACCCUGGAAAACCAUCCAGCUACCACCACAACCACAAUUCCUAGAAGUCUGCAAAAGUUGAUUGGGUUUACCCUACUUCACUCCCAAAAUACUUCAGUAUCGUCCAAUGGAGGAAGCAAUUUUUGAUUGCUUCCUAACAACUUCUUUACUGCUCCCCUUGAUCUUGCAUCGGAUCUAGAGUGGUGGUUCCAUUUACCAUACCUACUCCCUCAACCCAUUUACCACAUUAACAACACAAAUGAAAACCCCAAAUUAGUUGAAAACAAAGAAAUUGUCGUCUUGGUUAAGGGUGAGGGGGGAGCUAGGGAGAUCUUAAGAGUGGGAUCAAUGUCCUUGAGCAAGAGAAGGCUUUGGUUGGCACGUUGGAUUUUGAAGCCGUCGUAGUCGACUAGAGGUAUCACCCGAAGGUUGCCAUCGAGCUUCUAAAUUUUGUAAGUGUAAGAUGGGGUGAUUUUCGACCAAUGGUACAAUGGAGAGCAACAACUAGGCGAGGAAGGAACAAAAAUUUUUGGUUUGAUUUUGAGUAAGUAGCAACAAUGGAGGCAACAACGAGAUGAAUUUGGGUUCAAAUUUAAUUCUCCACUUGGGAUCCAUUUGGUAGUAGAGAAUAUGGUGGGUGUGGGUUUGGUUGUGAUGGCACGACUACAAUGAUGAACGAUAAUUGGUAACAGUAAUUUUGGUUUUGAGGUAGGCGUGGGGUUUGAAUAGAUGUGGAAGAGGAUAAUUGUGGUAGAUGAUUUUUUUUUUCCAAUUUUUAUUUAGUUAUUUUAUUUAUUUAAUGUGAG